AGGUUUCCGAAGCAAAGGUUACUUAGAAGUGGAGGUUCCACUGCCAGCUUCCCCCCCGCUGCAAAACCUGACACUCCUCACCCUCAGGGUUCAGCAAGAUUCUCGGAAAGGCCUCUUCUGAUUCUAGGAGGUGCUGCAGCAGGAGCUGACUCGGCCAUUUCCUGUCCUCUUUAGUUGGAAGAUGACAGAAAGGCGGAAGCAGGGACUGCUAUUGUGAGGCCCAUGGCAGCCUCCCUGUAAAACAAAUUGGCAAAUUGUCACCAUCAGAUGGACCACAGCUGGCCCUCUGCAGAGCCCUCCUUGGCCUUUCCAGAGUGUGCAUGAUUGUGUCCCAUGUCCAGGGAGAGGACAGAGCCACCAGGAGGGUCAAGGUCAUGGAGGGAAGCAUGGCCCCUGAUGACCUUCUAGAAGCAACACUGAGUUCGGCAGCUUGGGGUCCACUGGGGCACAGCAUGUCUGAGCCUAACCUGACGGCCAGCCUCCCAUUGGCUCAGCUUGUCUUCCCAGGUACUGCCUGGAAAACCAGCCUCUGGUAGGGAUGUCCAGGCCUGCCCUUCCCAGCUCUACCAGGGUGGAAAUCCGAUUCCCUGGGCCCUGUUUUCAGAGUUCCAGUGCUCUCUCUCAUAGCCUGUAAGUGGAGAAGGGCAAGCUGAAGAAGGAACAGACUGUUUUCUCAGGGGGAAGCCGGGCAGCUCGUGUAUGCCUCCCAGCAUCGCGGCAUGGUGGAUUCAUCCGGCCCUGAGGACAUGAAUUUGGUUCCUCCAGGAGCUCCUCCAGCCUCAAGAUCCACAAAUUGGAUGGAGUAUGUAUGAAACUGCAGAAAACCCAUUACCCUCCCUUACACAGGAAUGUUGCUCUCCUUUUAGGCUUGUCAGGCAGCUGAAGAGGAGGAUCCUAGGAGACUUUUCUUUCCUGAGAAACCCAAAGAAAGCAACAGCAGAUCUGUAGGGUGUGGGGGAAGGGGGCAGGGGAAAUGUAUUUUCAGUAACAGAGGCCUAAAGCAGAAACUAUUUGCAAACAGGUGACCUGCUCAAGUUCUCCUGUGAUCUUUCAUUUCUAGUGCUGGUUUUUCCCCCUCAUUAAAAAAACCAAUUUAAUUUCUUGCUUCACCUGCAUGGUAAAAAUAAUUACAUACAGACAUUAAGCCUGCACUAAAAAUCAAUGUACAGAGAGAUGCCACCUUUGCUGUUAGUCAUCACAGGGCUUGUUGGCUACAAAUAGAAAGCAUUUAAAAUACUUCUCUUUGUAGAAAGACAAGUGAAACUAGUCACUAGCCCUGUCGCUGGAGAGCAGCCUUUGUAUGUUAGUGAGAGUCAAGGGUCAGAAAGGAAGAUGAGGCUCUAACAGGGGUUUCAUGGUGUCCGGGUCCCUGUUUUCUUACUGGUGAAAGAUACAAGGGCUGAUCACCAUCAUAGAAUACUAACUUCAGAUGCGGAGCCUCCACACCACUGCUGCUGCCUUAAUGGACAUAAGCAUGCUUCUUUCUUCUUUAUUUCCUGGAGCUCAAGCCUGAACCACAGGGGGUAUAAGGAGAAU
rnacentral:lncRNA from 1 species